rnacentral:rRNA from 1 species
CACGUAGGGCGCAAGCGUUGUCCGGAAUUAUUGGGCGUAAAGAGCUCGUAGGCGGAUAGUACAGUCAGGCGUGAAAUUCCUGGGCUCAACCUGGGGGCUGCGUUUGAUACGUAUUGUCUGGAGUUCGGAAGAGGGUCGUGGAAUUCCCAGUGUAGAGGUGAAAUUCGUAGAUAUUGGGAAGAACACCGGUGGCGAAGGCGGCGACCUGGUCCGAUACUGACGCUGAGGCGCGAAAGCGUGGGGAGCAAACAGG